GACGAACGCUGGCGGCGUGCCUUAUACAUGCAAGUCGAACGCAGUGGGGACGGGUGAGUAACACGUGGGUAACCUCCCAUCAGAGUGCAUAACACUUGGAAACAGGUGCUAAACCGAUACUGAUGUAUGUACCCGCGGUGCAUUGGCUAGUGGGGGGGGUAACGGCUCACCAAGGCCACGAUGCAUAGCCGACUUGAGAGGGGGACCGGCCACACUGGGACUGAGACACGGCCCAGACGCCUACGGGAGGAAGCAGUGGGGAAUUUUCGGCAAUGGGGGAAAGUCUGAUCGAGCAACGCCGCGUGAGUGAAGAAGGUUUUCGGAUCGUAAAGCUCUGUUGUCAGAGAAGCGGUAUCUAACCAGAAAGCCACGGCUAACUACGUGCCAGCAGCCGCGGUAAUAC
rnacentral:rRNA from 1 species